GCAGAGAGGAAGAAAGUAAGACUCUCAACUCAAAAGAAAAAAAGAUUAACAUGAAAGGUGUUUCUCAGAGGUGGGCCCACAGCUGGUUCUGGUUCUAGUAGCCUCAGGCUGGGUCUAGCUUUUAGGUCACUUAGACUCAGAGUGACUAAAAAGAAUUAACUGCAUCCUCCCAUGAGCUUCUACCAAGCUGGGGCCAGAAACACACCUCUGUUCUUAUGUGAAAGUUCAUUUAGUCAUGAGACCUGUGGUUUGCCUCAUCCUCCACCUCUAGAAGCCAACCCAAACUAACCAACCUGGGAUUUCCAUCUGGGACAAUGAGGAACAGUCCAGUGAGGCCUAGGAAAUAAGCUCCCCUUGGAAAUGAAGCCCGGAGGUAAACAACUGAGAAGCUCACCAACCAGUUGGAGAAGUUUCACUUCCUCUGCAGAAUGUGGGUUUGGGAAUAAUAAUGCUCUGCUUCAUAAGCUGCAUUCCAUCUCGAGAGCCCAGUGACUGUAACCAUUCAUCUCUGUAGACAAUUAGCCUCUUAAAGUCCUUUCCAAGCUGGGGAGCCUCUUGUGUCUGCCCCACACCAGCUCUGAGGGGGAUUUUGGGCGAUGCUCUGCCACAGUGAGGUGGUUCCCAAGAUGUGAAAAUGUCAUCAGGCCCAUCAUUUGAGAAACUAGAGUGCUUAUUUCCUAAAGUGCUUCGUCACUUUUAGCCACUGCCUCCUCUGUGAUUGGGCCCAGUGUGAAUUUGAGUGAGUCACCUCUUGAGGCAGGGCAGACACAGAAGAGAACAGCAGGACUUUUUACUAAUUUCAGAUUUACUGGCAUCUGGUGGGUGUACCUUGUACCUCAUCAUUUUAUAAUUUUUAUUUUUUUUAAGAAUAAGUCUUGGGAAAUAAGACUUGAGCUGUUUUGGUAGAAGAUCAGUAGUUGUGGCUCACUUCGAAAUUUUCUCAGCAUGAAUACUGAGGGUUUUUCUUUUGCUAUACUUGAUGUUACAGAUUCUUUCAGUGCUUAGUCCCUGGGCACAAUUCCCACUUUCCCUCAGUUUCCAGCCCCCAGUGGAGUUAUGGAGUGCAAAAGGAGAUGAAAAGGCAGCAUUUGGGAGAGCUACCCACCCAACAUGAACCCAACCCGAUUCCAGAUGACUUGGCUCCAUUCUGAAUGGGGCUUUCUUAUUGCUUUUCUUUUUUUCCUUUGAGAUUGUUUUUCAUUAGCUAUUGUUUCCCUAAGUGGAUGAAAACUGAAAACUAUGGAUAUUACAUUUUAAUUGGAGCCAGUACUAUUCUAACAAUUAAACUGUUUUGUGUGUUGUUUUUCUUGAGAAGUCAACUUGCUGGCAUGAAAAGAAUCUUUGCCCAAAUUUUUCAUAUGUUGGUGCAGGAAGGUAGGGGAAGCCAUUUAUGUCCAAAAUAAAAUAUUUUCAAAUAUG